ensembl:lncRNA
CUUCUCAGUGGGAAUGAGGAUAUUUCCCUGCCUCACAUGGGUGCUGUUAGGGACAUCUCAAAGAUCAUACUGUCAGCUUAGGCAGAUAAAGAUAGUUUAUGUAGAGAGUGUUAGUAAACAAGGGAUUCCAAGCACUUUCACAGACACUAGGUCUGGAAUAACAGGGAGGAUGAAGGCCAUAAAGAUAAGGACUGGAGAGCAGCUCAAAAACAUUUGGCAGGGAGGUGAUUAGAUGUCUACGGGGCAAGCUGAAACCAGAUCGGGGGAUGCCCCCCUUCAGGGUCAGAAGUUUGCAGUGUGGAAGACUACGAGCCUUCGUGAGGAAGACUAUGAGCCUUCAUCAUCACGGCCUACUACAUACAUACAAGGGGGGGAGGGACUGCAUGCUAAUGGACUCUUGGGAAUAUAAUGAAUAUGUAUCUGAAUUCCCGUCA